CCAUGUGCUCAUUCUCCCCCUUCUCUCCCCGCUCCACACCUUCUCCCUGCUUCUUCCUCCUCAUGUUUUCUGUAGGCUGCAGAGACUCAGGACCCAGAAGGAGGACAGCCCAUCACUUAUGACAGAGAACUCAGACUCUACCCUGGUGGAGGACACUGUGUGCUUACAGCACACCGUUUCUCUGCCUGUGAGAUGUAAGAGUUGUCCCUGGGCUUUGAACUCCAGCCUCACCCACAUCUGCCAGGGAAUGGAAAAUCAAUCCGAGUGUCAUUGGAGGAAAAUUCUCUGAAGAAGAUGGCUGGUGACAGUGGAUCUGUCACCUAACUUUCUGUCCUUUAAGGAGACAACCCUUGGGAGAGAGAGGCUGUCCUUCCUGCAAUCUCUUGAAUUACAUGGAACAAAUGCCAACAUGAUGGUGGGAUUCUUCCUGCUGCUGGGUCUGAAUGCUUUCCCAAGCUCAUCUGCCCAUUAACUGGGCAGUUCUUCCAUGUCUUCUUGCCAGAACACUUGGGACUGUUGUCUUUCCACCUCUGGAGGCUGUCUGCACUGAUUCUAAGCAACAGAACAUAGCCUGUUGGUGUGGGGCCUGCUGGAUAUCCCUGCCACCAAGAGCCAGGGCAGAAUCACAGUUACUUCCCCAGCUCCAGGCUCAUAUCACUUGAUUUAUAAGCCCCUACCUUUUAUCUUUUCUUUUCUUUUCUUUCUUUCCUUUCUUUCCUUCUUUCUUUCUUUCUUUCUCUUUCUUGAUUCUGAUCUCCUCAUGACAGAUUGCAGUAAAAGUCUCAAAGUUGAAUGUUUUCUCAUCUGUCACAAAGAGAUAUGGGUGGGAAGAAUAAUAUAAGUGGCCUUAAAGGGGAGCAGCAUAUUCAGUUACAAGUCAAAAGCAUCUUGGGUGCAGGACUGAUCCAAGGCACUCUGCAAGAUGUCUUUUAGGGUGUACUUACUCACUGGCUAGAAUUAAAAUUCCAAUAGCUGCUUUCCCAAUCAGCAAUCACACCAGAAAGCAGAGAGCUUGUUUAUUUACCACCAUCAGACUUCUCUGCCCAACUAAUCUCUGCAUGCAUAUCUCCUUAAGAUAGCUUUCAUAAAAUCUUCUUAAAAUUCCCUCAAAUUCCCCUGAGACUGCUUACUUUCUAACUGGGCUAUUCAAGCCUGCUGAGGCCCCCUGGGUAGGAGAUGUCUCAUACAUCUCCAUCAGGCUAGAGGAGAACUGUAGCCAGAAGUGAGCCACCCCCACACCUCUGCGGUGCAGCCCCGCUGUGUGCACAAGGCAGGGCCCUGGGAGCUGCUGUUCAGGCUGCAGCAUUUGGCUGAUUCAUUUGUCUUCAUUAAUGUUGCUUGUAGCCGAGGCCUUUGUCACAUAUAUGAUUAUGUGGGAUGUGACUCUCUCAAACAUGUAAAAACAGCUCUAGCAUGAGUCUCCCAGCAGGCAGCAGCCUGGAGAGAAGAUUUUCUGUUGCUGGGGAGUGGGAAUGGUUUAUGCUGUUAGCCCAAGGGAUGGGGCUGCACUGUAGACCUGCAUUUUAAGUGCCAGGAAAUGAUUCUUGGAGUGAUAAAGGUUAGGGAUGCUGCUGCUCUGGUCCCUAGCCCUAGGGACUUGCCUCUACAGGGCAGUCACCUUACAGAAUAUGCCCCCCCUCCCCUCUUAUAGGGAGGCUCCUCAUUCACCAAAUCCACUCAUUGUUAUCACCCAAAUGUCUCUUCACUGAGUUCUCUUCCUCUCUCUCCUUUAGGGACUGGUCUUCAUCUAGACCAUGGGUCUUACUGAGUGAAAAGGAAUUGUCUGUUAAAUAACAAUAAAUGCCUAUCUUUUCAGGCAUACACAUAUGUGCAGGUAGGUUGAAAUACCAUUGUUGAUAAUUUUACUCGCCAAAUUGUUCAAAUGCGUGUACAUCUGAUACACUGGGCUUGCAUUAGACUGACUGUGCUGCAGGAGCUGUGCUGCAACAGCAAGAGUUGGUGCUGCAGUGUUCCCUGGUCCGCACAGCUGGGUGGGAGCACUGUCCAAUCAACUCAUGAAGUGUAUCUCUAAAAAUCACAUCCGAUGUUAAAAUAUAUAAUCUUGUGGCACUACAUUACUUGGUGUUCAGGGCUGUAUUCAGUCUGUGGGCUGUAGGUUAGAUACACUAGAUAAGGACAUCAUCAUCUCAUGCCCAUCUUCCCAAGACAGUCUCUCAAUCUUUCACCUUCUGGUCUUGUUCCUCUGUGAUCCACUCUCCACCCUGCUGAUAUCUUAGUCAUGUGUGUCAGCAUGGGCCAUCCCCUUCCUCUGGAAGUCAGCCGUGUAGGAUGGUGUACAAGGCCCUUCAGGACGAGGCCUCUACGCCUUCCAAGCUUCAGUGCCACCAAUACGGCCAUUUGUUUCCAUUUGCUUUCACCUUUUUCUUUCUUUGGGAGUUAUACUUUGUAACAGGGUUCCAAAACAAUUCCACCUUGCGCCUAAAGGCUUAAGGCUUUUAAAUAAAACAAUUUUUAACUCAACUACUCCAAUAAGACAAGGAAUUGGAGCCUCCAAAAAAAUGUCUUAAUUCAAUACUUUACUAGGUAUUAUUCUUUUCCAGAGACUGAAGUUUCAUUUUUAAAUCAUCAUAUUCAGACCACUGCAAAGGAAUUAAAAAAAAACAAACAGUCAAAUUACCAGAGAAAAGAAGGGUAGAAUUACUAAAAGAUACACAUGUGUGUCAGCACCCACCACCCAUUACAGCUUCCUAUGGUCUGACAGAAGGCGAUGGUCCUGAGCUGUGUCUCUGAGCCAGGCUGUGGGUUGAGUGUCCUUGGAUCAGAAUUCUUUCCCACUCUUUUCCCCUAUGGCUUUGACCCAAGGGAAGUUUAUAAGAGUAUCCUGCCCCAUUAUCAGGGACGGGAACAUCUUAUCAGUAGGAGAUUAUAUUCAUUUGUUAGAGCUACUAUAACAAAAUAGUAUGUUCUGGGUAGCUCCAACAACAGAAAUGUAUUGUCUCUGUUCUGGAUGCUAGAAACUUGUAAUCAAGGUUUUUCCUUCUGAGAAAUAUGGGGGAGAAUCGUUCUGUUCCAUUAUCCCAGCUUCUGGUAGCCUCUGGUGUUUCUUGGCUUAUAGACGAUUUUUUUUUCUUGUGCCUCCACGUUGUCUUUCUUCUAUGCAUGUCUUUCUCUAUCUAUAUUUUACCUUUUUAUAAAGGCACUAGUCAUUUUGGUUUAGAACCCACACUAAUGAUCUCAACUUGAUCAUCCACAAAGACCCUAUUUCCCAAUAAGGUCAUAUUUGCUGGUACUGGUGCUAGGAGUUGAUUCUCAUUUGGGGAGACACUGUUCAAGCCAUGACCAUGGUGGCUAAGGCACAGCCAAAAGAUACAUCACUUGUUAUCCUCCUGAACCUCUUAAGAAGACCCGUAGUCAGUCCUCCACAUAUAGCUAGGUACUAGAGAAAAGAAACAUUAAAUUCAGAUUGAAGGUAUCAUCCAAGUAUAGAGAAGCUAGUUUACUCCAGAUAAACACAUUCCACUGCAUCAUUGGCCUGGAAUAUAACUUUUCUGUUCUGACCAGGGAUAGGUCAUUUAUACUAAGGAGCAGUCACAGCCCUGAUACUAACUAUUAACAUGGUUCAUAACAACAAUGUAAUGAUAAUAUUGUGUAUGUAUUAGGGUUUUCAGAAAGUUUACACAUACCUUUUUUAUUUGAUCCUCACAGUGACUGUGACACAGGAAGAGGAGAUUGGUAUUAUAAUUUCUGUGACUCCUUUCCUCAUCUGUGAAAAGAACAGUAAUGAUAUCUACUCAAGGCUUGUUGAAUGGUUAAAGGAAUUAAAAAUAAAACACUGGCACCCUGAACCCACCACAGGGUUGGGGCUGGCCCGUGUAGCUCAAGGACAGGAGGACCAAAUGUAAACUCAGACAGGGAGUGCCCCUCCAUUCCUGUUACCUCUUCCUGUCUUACUUCCUGCAGUUACUUUGCGAGGCUUCUCUAGUGCCAUUUUCUUUAACUUUGUUUCAUUUGUUUUAUUUCCUGUCAAAGCAAUUUUCAUUAUCACUGUUAGAAAAGUAUAAAGAAAAUAUUCUUCAGUAUAAACAUAAUGGGCAACGGUUUAGUUAUGUCUAUGAUAUCUGCAGCGUAUGCAGUCUAAUCCUUAUCAAACCACAAAAGGAAAGGCAUGCUCACAUGUGUACCUGUCCCCCUUGGGAUCAGAAGACGUGGGAUCUAGAAGAUGGUUCAGCAUGUUUCUUUACUUUCUUCGUUUCACUGCCUGUGUCAAGCCAUCUCCUAGCUCUGUUCUUGGAUGUUUUAGAUUGGGUUCUCUAGAGACUGCUUUUGAGAUUAAAAAAAAAAAAAUCAUGUGAAAAUGAUUUAUUUGGAAGCAUUUCCAGGAAAAACCAGGGAGGGCGCAGGACUGGGAAGUACAGAGAGGAAGCAAGCAAAGCUUCACAGAGGCAUGUUUGGAGACAGAGAAGCCUACAUCGGAGAAUCCUCACUGAGGAGUGGGCUGACAAGUUGCUGGAGUAGUUCACACCCCCGCAGCCAUCAGAUUCUGAAUCUUAAGGCUUCUCCCUCACCACUACUCCACAGCAUGGAGAUCCCCAGUCCUUUUAGCAAUCUCUGUGCAGCCCCAGGCAUCCCUUCAAGGGCAGGACUGGCAACUGGGAAGAAAGGUACAGCUGAGGAUGAUCUGUGGCGAGGCGGCACCAGCAGGGCUGUUUUGAUUACUCUGUGACGUCACUGUUGGGCAUCAGGCUUUGGAGGAUUCAGCAGCCUGUCUACUGUCAACCUAGAUGAGACAGCAUCGUUCAGUGAGGACAACGCCUGAACACGAGAGCCUGUGCUCUGAUCUGGCUGCUUUCCUGUAUCAGACAACUCAUGAUGUAUCAUUUCUAUACCUCUACCUAAAAGGAAAAUGAGACCCCAUGUCCUACAGAGCUAUGGUACAAAGACGGGUGCAAGUAUUUUGGAUUCACAGAGUUCCCAACAAAAGGCAAAACUUGAAAAAGUGUGGUCGUGUGUCAUAGAAUGAUGAGAACACCUUUUGAGAAAUACAUCAUCAGGAAAUUUUUGUUGUUGUGAAAACAUCCUAGAGUAUAUGUACAUAAACCCGGAUGGCUACUAUAUUCCUAGGUGAUAUUAUCUCAUGGGACCACCACUGUGUAUGCUAUCACUGACUGAAAUGUUAUUGUAUAGCACAUGAGUAUAAUUUCCUGUUGUCCCCUUCUGUGAUCACAGAAGGAAGAUGGUCUCCUCUAAACAAGCUUUCCUGGAACUUAAAGAGGAUCCCUUCACUUCUUAAGCAAGUCCUACCUUCCUGUUACCCUAAACAUAAGGCAGAUGCAGUUUGCAUUGUCAAAUUAUUUAAUACCAAUAUCUCCUGCGUGGAAGGGGAGCUUAGAUGGGGGAGCAGGAAGCUUAUAGCUGAGGCAAGUCCCCUGGGCAGACCCAGUCACCGAGCUAGCAAGGAAAUUUCUGUUUUAGUCCUCUUCUUAUUAGGACGUACAGCUCAGUCUUUGAGGUGAUUGACUUGCAUAGUUGUGACAGUGAAGCUUGAUUGUGUCAAUCUGAUUGGCUUGGAAACACACAGGAGAUGGGUGGAGCAUCCGUCUGGGUGUGUUUGGGUAGAUCACAGAGGUGUGACCUUCUGGUCUAUUUCUGGUUCUUCCUCUCUGGCAUCGUUCCCAUGCUCUUUUCCCCAGCUGCCAUGAACUAACCAGCUUUGCUCCACCAUGCCCUUUUUCUGUGAUGUUCCUCCCUUGCAGCUUGUUGAUCGGAACUGAAACCUCUGAAACUGUGAACCAAAUUAAACCUCUCCUCCUCUAAAUUGUAGGUGCUGGGUACUGUGCUCCAGCAAUGGGAUAGCUGAUUAAAAUAUCAGGUCUCCUGGUUUCUGGGCUCUGGGUGUUUAAGUUUCUGGAGUCUCUAGGAAAAUAGAACCUUUAUCUGACUGGGCUUCAGAUCCAGCUCCAGGGUCACUCCUAGAGUUAGGAUGGAGCUGCUUUGCAGGUACCUAACAACCUGUAAUCCUCAGGUUUCCAGUGGGUUCCUCCCAGGUCCCUCUCUCAUCUUUCUUAGGUGACCUCACACUCUUUCACAGCCCUGAGCUCUAGCUUACUGAUGGCUAAUAGACGACAUCUGUACAAAAACAACCAGCCAGUAAAACUAUAUGAAACAUAGAGUCACCAAAGAGAAAGGAUAACUAGACUGGAUAAGCGAUGUCCUCUGCAGGCUUGGGAGUAAAGGCUGGUGAGCGUGCCUUUGUAUAUACUUGAUGUUUCUAUACCUGCAUCAAGAGCUUGCUUCCACAGCUUUACAUAAGAGUUCUGUGCUUUUUAAAACAUCUUUAUUCAGCUCACAGAUUUCCUCCUUGAAUGUGCAGUACCAUUUUUCCUCUGAUAAGAGUAGCAUGUUUAAAAGUACACACUUACAUUUUAUCCUAACUGUCCUCUCAACACAGUGAUUUUUAGAGGAGGAGUCCUACUCUUAUAGGCACUGAGUCCUGUAGAAAAUCUUGGAAAUGGGUACUAGAAACUUACACAUUCAGUAAAUAAUGCUUUAUUAAGUGUUUUUUUUUUUUUUUUUUUUUUGUGCCAACGUGUUUCUGGAUGUCCAGGAUACAAAACUGGCAAUGGCAUGGGACUCUCCUUACAAGGAGCUUACAUUCUAGUCUGGUAGAGUCACACAUUAGCACUAUGAUAUUAUUGGAACUGAGAAUGUUUCUCACCAACUCUGAUUUUCUAGAGAGGCUAAGCUAUUGGAGGAAGAAGUGCCUCCUCUAUGUUACUUUCCAUCAGUGAUUCUCAGUUCCCAGGGUCAAAAAUUCUACAAUGUCUUUACAGUGCUUUCAGGAAAGAGUUGCUGGAAUAAACUAAUAUUUCUAACUGAGGUGGCAGCAGUUCUCAGAACCACUGUGUCCUUCCUUUCCAGCUGCACAGGUUCUUGUGUCAAGUACUUGGCUGCCCACCCUGGCUGCUGAUUCCCUUUCCUGAACUCGAGUCUGGACUCAACUCCUACUGCAACCUCACACCCUGGGUUUCAGAUUUGGGGCUUCCCUCUGAAACAGUGCUUUGUACUUUCUCAUCUGAAUGCCAUGGCUAAUGUUGCUGUCCAUCUUCAAUGCUGCCUUCUCAGACCAGGUCUGACCCCAUGCCUGACCUGGCAUGUCCAAAUUCCAUUUCAGCUGAGAGUCACUGCACCAGAAUGAGUCACCCAUGUGGUUGCUGAAUGGUGCUAGAGCUUGGGGAAAUGCCUGAAUUAUUUUGGCCAUGUCCAGGUAUUUCACAUUUGCUUUCAUUGUGAUUCUGGGCUGAAUUUCAGUAUUCAUCAACAUAUUUGGCAAUACAGAGACACAGCCUUGGCCUGGAGAAGGCUUAAGCCAUCUGUUCUUUUAAGUGAUAGAAAGGACAAGACUGGAUUAACUAGAACCAGGAAAACACAGGAAUGCUUUCUGAAUAGCAUGACCCUGGUGGAAAUUUUGCUUUGUACACUUACAUAGAGAUACAUAAAAGUAUUAAAUGCAGUGAUCAGAAAUCUAUGGUCAGAGACAGGAAAUAGAUUAGUGGUUCCAGCAGUUGGGGAGGAAAAAAUGGAGAAACCCUCAGCACUUUUUGAGGGGAGAGGGAGAAGAAAAUAUUCUAAAAUUAAAUAGUGGUGUUAAUUUCACAACUCUGAAUAUUCUAAAAAAAAAAACCACCAAAUUGUACAUUAUACCUCUUCUUCCUUUUUAAAAAUCAUUGCUAUGUAUUGAAUGCUAUACAGGGCCUUGAUCAUACUAGGUAAGUGCUCCAUCACUCAGUUACAACUUGAAUUGUAUACUUUAAAGGGAUAAAUUUUAUGGGGACACAUAUAUCUCAAUAAAGCUACUAUUUUAAAAA